rnacentral:rRNA from 1 species
CCCUUAGAUGUCCUGGGCUGCACGCGCGCUACACUGAUGUGUCCAGUAAGCACUUAACCUCUUCCGAAAGGAACGGGUAACCUUUGCAAAGCACAUCGUGAUGGGGAUAGAUUAUUGCAAUUAUUAGUCUUGAACGAGGAAUUCCUAGUAAGCACAAGUCAUCAGCUUGUGUUGAUUACGUCCCUGCCCUUUGUACACACCGCCCGUCGCUCCUACCGAUUGAAUGUUCCGGUGAGCUCUUCGGACUGCGCGGUCUGCAGUUUCUGCGUUCCGUGCGGAAAGUUGCGCAAACCUUAACAUUUAGAGGAAGGAGAAGUCGUAACA